CCCAGAGAAAGAGACCUCCCACUCUCGUUUUUCGAGGGCUCGUCUCCUUCAAAAAAACCCAAGGGCACUCAAACUCCCUCCCUCUCUCUCUCUCUCUCUCUCUCUCUCUCUCCCUCCCUCCCUGCUUCCCAUGUGGAGUAGCGAGAGGAAGCAGCAGUACAAAGGAGGGUUCUGGGUUUGGGCGGGAGUGCGAUUGAUCGAGGGGGUUGAGAGAGCUGCUUCGAUCGGUCCAAAGAGGUCUGAGAUAUAUUCUUGGCGGGAGUAGAGUCGGUUCUGCAGGGAGGCAAACAGCAGAGAAGAAGAAGAAGAAAAAAAAAAAAAAGAUUGCAAGGAAGAAAGGUAAGCAGGCUAUCUAUCUAUCUAUCCAUCUAUCAGUAAUCCUCCUUUAAGCCGCUCCCUCUCCUUUCUCUCCGCAGCUUUCCUGGAUUUCUGUGCUCUACUCAUCACCUCCCCUCCUCUUCUCAUGAAACAUAACCAUAUCCCUCCCAAAAGAUCUCCUCUUUCCAACUUAAAAAAUAAAUAAAAUAAAUAACAAGGAUUUAGAUUAGAUCCUUCCUUGCUGAUCCCUUCAUUCUGAUUUUCUUUUAAACUACUCUUUCCUUUUGGCUGCUAUUUAUAUUUGUUUCCGAGAAUAUAUAAGAUAAAAAUCUCGGUCGUUUCCUCAAACAUUCCAUGUCCGGUCCAUGUUAGUGGUCUCGAAGCUCGAUUCCAAGCUUCAGCCUCAGAACCCUUGUUCACACUCUCCCAUAUCCAUCUCUUCCAACUCCCACCAACCCUCUUCUACUAUGGUCUUUGCUUCCCGGUUUUGCUCUACGAAGCUGCUGCUCGCCAUCCCAAAUGACCGGGUUGCCCUUACCGCCGCUGCGGUCUCGAAGGGUAAUUUGGUAAUCAUGGUAAGGAGGUGACGUGUCGGUGGUCCCGUCUGGGGGGGAGAUCUCUUCGUAGCGUUGUUGGUUUCUGGUCGCCAGAGGCCAGGCACAUGGGAGCGGCAGCGGCUGCAGCAGCGCUGCUGGAUACAUCGAGAACUCUUGCCCCCAGCGGCUCUCAGUGGUGGCGUGCCGCUCUUAGGUCGUGGAGGAGCGGCCGGAGCUUCCGCUAUGGGUACGUGAAACCCGGGGAGUACGUUUCUUGGUCGCCGCGUCCCCGAAUUACCCUCGGUUCGGACCGGCUCUUCCUAGCCGCGCCAUCGUCUCGUGGGAGGUAGCAGGAGGGGCAUUCCCGUCAUUUUGAGGUGGCUGGGUACGAAUAUUUCAGGCUGGGGAGCUAUUGCGUGUGGGAUGGAGGGAAGAGUAGGGGAAGAGGCGGGAGGGGAGGAGGGGAAGAAGUACACUUAAAACCGGGGUUGGUAAAUAUUGAGGAGUUAUAAAAGAGGGGGAAAAGAAGAGGAGAGAGAUUUACUGCAUGCCCUUGCUUUUGUUUCUUUCUUUUUCUCUCCAGGAGAAUGAGAAGAGUGAAGAGAAAGGAAGAGGGGAGAAGGUGUCUCCUCCUUAAAAAGGGAGGCCGGCCUCUACGGCCAAGCUAGAGAAAGAGAGGAAGAUUAAAGCUUUGGUCUCAAACGCGAGGCAUUUGGUUCCCUCGGCACGAGAGAAGGCGCGAAGGCGUCGAUGGCGGUGGCGGUGGCAAAGGAGGAGAUGAUGGUGGGCUACUGGCGGUGGUGGUGGUGGUGGUGGUGGUGGAAGGCUGCAUACACAAGGUGAUGAGGUGGUGUCGUGGUUUUGAGGUGUAUGUUCGCUUGUGGAACUGGGAUAUUGGCGUAAUAGGCUCAAUCACUUUUUUUUUUUUUUUGGGUUUUCUUGUCUACAUUUUAUAUAUAUAUAUAUAUAUAUUUGGUGGCUUUUGUUCUUUUUUUUAGAAAAAAAUUCUACCUUGUCUUCUCCUUUCGUUCCCUAGCGUUGGUUUGUUCAUGUGAAUGAGAUGCGGGCAUGUUGUCGCAUAAAUGGAAUGGAAUGGUUGAUGGUGAUGGUGGGUGGGAAUGGGAAGGUAAGAUGGGGUACAGCUUUUGUUGCUUUUGGCUUGGCUUCAACAUCUCCUUUUCCCUUGCUUCCGUUUUGCAUUGUAGAUUGGAUGCUUUCUUUGGCAUGUCAUCUUCUUCCCUUCCCUUCAUUUCUUUGCUUCUCUUGUCUGUUGUAGUUUGGCUGCUACAUUCGGCCACCAUGCAACAAAUUCCGAUGGAGGCCCAGCAUAGCAUCCAUGUUGGAACAAAAACUAGGAUGUAUAAGGGACAAAGAGGUCUGCCUACAGAUCAUGUCAUGUGGAUGGUGAACUAUCAUCCCCUAUCACCCCAAUACCCCCAUGCAUGCCAUCCUCUUGUCCUCAGUGACGGGAAGAGCUGAAUAUAAUAGAGGUGCGCAUGGGUUUUGUUUACUUGCAACCAAUGGCGACAAGUGGAGAUGUGUACAUAAUUUGUUUAAAACCAUCUAUUCUGUCUCUGAUAUAUUAGUGUGUAAUAGGAUAGAUUGGGUUGUCUUUUGUUAUAUCCGCUGGCUAAGAAGGUGGAAGGCUGUUGUGGAGAUAAAGCUUUCACUUUGAUCAGAGGAUGGGAAAUUUCUUGGUUGCUGGGAGAGCAGAGCACUGUGACUUUCAAUUAUUCCAGGUGAUCAGGUGAGUGAGGCGCAGGUGGUUUGAUCAAUGGGAUAUCCAUCUCAAGUGUGUACACUUUGAAGUUGCUACAUUCUUUAAAAAAAUUGGAAAUCAAGAAAUAAAACCUCGCCACGCCGAUCACAAAGGCCUUGCUGUUGCGGAAA